AGUGGUUUGGAUGUGGGGGGUUUGCUGGCCUUUAUGAAGGUUCAGCUCCCCUGAAAUGCAUUAGCAGAACAACCUGUUCAUUCAUUGGUGUGAUAACUAUCUACGCUACUGAGUGCGAGGCAGUUCAGCUCCUAAUCGUCCUUGGACAAUUUAUCAUUUUAUGUGACCUCAAAUCAGGUAGGACUACCCGCUGAACUUAA
rnacentral:misc_RNA from 1 species